rnacentral:tRNA from 1 species
GCACCAAUGGCGUAGCGGUAUCAUUGUAAACUCCCAUGGUACUGACCCAGGUUCAACUCCCGGUUGGUGCG